AAUGAUAUUAUUAAUACAAUGAGAGAUUAGUUACUCAUAAUUUGAUGAAGUUAUUCGAAGAAAACACUUCAUUGAGAAAAAGAAUUCGAGUCUACGAUAUCAAAGUGUUUAACUCAUAAACAUUUAUAAUAAAUUGCAGGAACUGUCAAAAAGUAAUAUUUGGAA